rnacentral:lncRNA from 1 species
AGAAAAAAGCAUGGAGCUGGGUAGGUAAGGAGAAUCUGAAGACAGUUUGGAGAAAGGAAAAAUAUCAAAAUAAUUUUUUAAAUGUUAAAAUGCAGUACUUUGGUACAGGCUCGGCGAGAUGGAGACGAUGAGAGACGCAGCGUGAGAAGCCAGAGCAGCUCCAAACCUCAUUGAGACCGGCCGCCAAAGCCCUCCACACCCACUGUAUAUUUUUGGCUAUUUCAGCCCUGAUGAAUUCAGAGUUUUUGUUGUUGUUUUGGUUUGGUUUGGUUUUUUUGUGAUCCCUGCUCUUCAGGUGAGCUCCCCCCUCCAUACAGUGGGACUCUGUAUAGCAUACAGGCUGAAGAUGAACUGCCAGAUGCGUUCGGCUCAUGAAUAAGUUUAUUAAUAUGCCCCUACCGCCCGAGCCCCGCCAAGCUGUCGGGGAUAAAAUAACUCCACCCAGGAGCUGCCUUUGAACCCACAUACAUUUACAGACAGUCAUCAAGUCGAGCCUACCUGAAAAGGGCCGACCGGAGGACGCCAAGGAGUACCUAGGUUUCAUCCUCAGUGGACUCCAUGAGGAGAUGCUGAGCCCGACUAAACUCCUCUCACCCACGCAUGAGUAGCACUCUGUUUCCAAUUGGCCUGGGAGCCACUUGAUAGAGGAGCUGGAAGACACCA